GGGUACAAUUAAAAUUGUCACAUGUUAUUUAUUAUUAAUUAAGUUCACAUCAGCACAACUACUCGCCACAAACUCAGCAUUAAAUCUUAUCAAUCAGAAUGCCAGAAUGGGAACAAAUCCAACGACGCUAAAUACGGGUUUGGCGAAUGGUCCGACAAAUUUGAAUCAACUGGGAAGAAAUAUGGUCGGCAAUGCUAUGACUUCCAUUGGAAACAUCAAUUUGAUGAACGGAAAUUUAGCUAAUUCCAAUUUAGCUAAUCUUAAUAUGGCUAAAACAAAUGUAGCUGAAAUGGGUGUUAUGGCUAA